rnacentral:lncRNA from 1 species
GUUCUUCCCCACCAUAAUCUGUGCCAAAUCCGGUACUAGGGCCACCAAUCCAAUGUCGGUAUGAUGUCACAUCGGAGUGCAACCAGGCUACACAAGCACAAAAUUUUUGUUGCUCAAACUUUGGCAUUUACACCGAAGGGCACUCAAGCUACUUCCUAUGAACAUUGAAGAUUAUCUGUAAAUGGUUCAACGAGGUUAACCCGGCAUUUUAUCAAAUUGAGAUGAGCUUCCACAUACUAGUCUGGAAACGCCAGGGCUCUUCUCGUUUAUAUGCCAACUCUUGACUUAACAAGUUCUAGCCAUCGAUCACCAAGGAAGAGCAUUACUCACGCAAAAAAUCUGGCAAUUUGGUUGGAGAUUACAUUAUUCACCUCAUCUGUGAAUGAAGCGUCUUGUUUGGGGCUCCUUUUAGAGGGUCAACUACGAGGAAUUUUUAAAGAGCUCAAGGCAACUAUUGAAGUAGGUGUUCAACAGCAAGGGUGGCAACAAUAUCACCGACAUGCUGAUGAUGACAGUGAAUAAUGUAUGGUGGCAGUUGUUAUACUGUCAUUAAUAAUUGUUGACAAUUUAACACUAUUAGCGGUCAUUAAUUAUCAACGGAGUUAUGGAUUGAAGAAAAGCA